rnacentral:tRNA from 1 species
UAGCUUAGAGGUUAAAGCAUCUACCUGCAAUGCAGGAGACCCGGGUUCAAUCCCUGG